UCCAGACUCCUACGGGAGGCAGCAGUGGGGAAUAUUGCACAAUGGGGGAAACCCUGAUGCAGCGACGCCGCGUGAGCGAUGAAGUAUUUCGGUAUGUAAAGCUCUAUCAGCAGGGAAGAAGAUGACGGUACCUGACUAAGAAGCCCCGGCUAACUACGUGCCAGCAGCCGCGGUAAUACGUAGGGGGCGAGCGUUAUCCGGAUUCACUGGGUGUAAAGGGAGCGUAGACGGCCAUGCAAGCCAGGGGUGAAAGCCCGGGGCCCAACCCCGGGACUGCCCUUGGAACUGCAUGGCUGGAGUGCGGGAGGGGCAGGCGGAAUUCCUGGUGUAGCGGUGAAAUGCGUAGAUAUUAGGAGGAACACCAGUGGCGAAGGCGGCCUGCUGGACAGUAACUGACGUUGAGGCUCGAAAGCGUGGGGAGCAAACAGGAUUAGAUACCCUCGUAAA
rnacentral:rRNA from 1 species